CCGGCCCGGGAGCGGCUGGGGAGGGGGAGCCCGGCAGGUGCACGGAGCCAGGAGACCCCGGCGCACGCACACCCGCCGGCGGCCUGCAGCGCGGGGCCCGGGCGAGAGCGUGACUGGAGCGAUACCAGCCGGAUGCCACUAACCCUUCGGUCAGCUCUUCCUGGGGUGGACACCUUGCUCCGAGUCUGCUGGGCUUGUUGAGGUUCCCGGCCCCCACGGUGAAUCCCUCUGGUCGCCACCAGGCCCGGAGCAGCCCUGGGGGUCCCCCAGCACACACACACCUCCCCGCCGCUGCCCAGAGGAGGACUACGGACUCAGGGGCCGGUCCUGAGGCUCCCUCUGCUCCUCGACCUGACACGUUGAAACCCAGAGGCGGUCAGGACAGUCUGCCGUGUACUCCUAUCAGGGACGCCAGCCUGAAAUGAGACUCACGGGGUGCAGGCAGAGCCAGGGCAUCCCCAAAUCUGAUGGUUUCCGGUGCCUUCGGCAGUGUGUCCUGUGCCCAGGCGAGCCCGUGUAACUAGUAGGGGACUUGUAUUCAGGCAUAGAAAGAACCACACGUCCAAUACGGAAGGGGUACAUGCUCACGAGAAGUGGGGAACACCCGAGCAGGCGUGAGCAGAGGAGCAAACGUAUGCCUGAAAUGCGUGGAAAGACCUCACCCAUGACACGGAAACGCAGACUUGAGUCAAAAUAAUACUAGGCUACAGCCACCAUACCGGCAAAGAUGAAAGCUGGCAAUAGAGAGCAAGCGAUGGAGAGGGCGUGGGCCCCAGAAUUCUGGAUCACGGCCAGCAGGACAAUAAUUUGCGACCCCUUUGGAAAGCGUGUCCCCUUGGGAAAUGCCUUGUAUUACAAGACUGUUUGUAUUCCGGAAUAAUUGUGUUUAGCAGGACGAAGCCUCCCACGUGUGGCCCAGAGGCAGACAGCAGACGUGCGCCCUGGCCGUGCUCACAGAUCCCACCAUCCGUUCCCUGGGGUGCACGAGACGCCUGGGGCUCCCCCGACGCCUGGGGCUCCCCACAUGCUGUCCGCACGUGGGGGACGUGACCGAGAGGCUGUUCAACGAUUCAGCCACUGCCACACCCAGCGUGGGUGAACCUUGGGAAUUAAACCUUGGGAAUUAAAUGUUGGCUGAGAAGCCUGCCAUGUGACUGAGCCUGAAAACGGGGGGCUGAGGCGCGUGUAGCUGUGCAAUGCUGUGUGUGAGCGUAUUUAGCACUGCAUACACACAUGAAUCCAUUCAGGGGCCCGGGUGCGAGAGCGCAGCUCGGAGCUGGAGGACCGCGGCUGGAUGAGGCCACCAUUCAAAGUCAGUGCCUGGAGGAAGGGACACCCUCGGGAGAAGGCAGCCGUGGCCGGUGGGGGAUGGACCACUCCUCAGGCGGGCUGCUGGCUCUCUGGGCCUCACUGUCCUCCUCAGAGAGCAGGUCUCAAGUCACGUCUCAUGGAGAUAAGCAGCGACAUUGUUACGACAAAGUAUGUAAAACCAGCUGUAAGCUAAGCGUAAUAAAUAUUACACAGAGAUGUAAGUCACUGCUUCUGCCUGCCGAGGGUAUAUGCAGAGACCCAGCCCCGCCACCAGCCGUACACGGAUGUGGCUCUCGGUGUUUUAAACCAUCAGGGUCCUAACAGGGGAAGGCUCUGCCUGUGCAAACCCGCCACCGUGGCGGCUGUGACAGCGUUACCAACCAGCAACGCAGGCCUGUGAAGAAGCGGGACCGGGGAGGGUCCAGGCGGCCGAGCUGGCACAGCCCCAGAGCAGGUCCCGGGUUCCUCCCGCCGCCUGUCUGUCCGCAGCCUCGGAAACGCAGGCACGCAUUCCAGAGAGCUGAGAGCAUUGCAGACUGGUGGUUCGUUAGAGUUGCAUACAUGGAUAAGCCCACCUAUUUUUGCUUUCGAGAAUUCCACUUCUAUUUUUGGUGGAAUAUAAAAGCUUUGACUAUUUCCCAAAGUGGAAAAACACAUUUUUUUUCCUUGAAUGUCUUACGGAUCACGGUUGCCGUUAAAUAAAUGCUUCCCGUCUGGAUGGGCUCA
rnacentral:lncRNA from 1 species